rnacentral:rRNA from 1 species
AGAACGAACGCUGGCGGCAGGCUUAACACAUGCAAGUCGAGCGCCCCGCAAGGGGAGCGGCAGACGGGUGAGUAACGCGUGGGAAUCUACCCAACUCUACGGAAUAGCUUCGGGAAACUGGAAUUAAUACCGUAUACGCCCUACGGGGGAAAGAUUUAUCGGAGUUGGAUGAGCCCGCGUUGGAUUAGCUAGUUGGUGGGGUAAUGGCCUACCAAGGCGACGAUCCAUAGCUGGUCUGAGAGGAUGAUCAGCCACACUGGGACUGAGACACGGCCCAGACUCCUACGGGAGGCAGCAGUGGGGAAUAUUGGACAAUGGGCGAAAGCCUGAUCCAGCCAUGCCGCGUGAGUGAUGAGGCCUUAGGGUUGUAAAGCUCUUUCAGUGGGGAAGAUAAUGACGGUACCCACAGAAGACGCCCGGCUAACUUCGCGCCAGCACGCCGC